rnacentral:rRNA from 1 species
CCUACGGGAGGCAGCAGUGAGGAAUAUUGGUCAAUGGACGAGAGUCUGAACCAGCCAAGUAGCGUGAAGGAUGACUGCCCUAUGGGUUGUAAACUUCUUUUAUAUGGGAAUAAAACAGGGUAUGCAUACCCUCUCGUAUGUACCAUAUGAAUAAGGAUCGGCUAACUCCGUGCCAGCAGCCGCGGUAAUACGGAGGAUCCGAGCGUUAUCCGGAUUUAUUGGGGUUAAAGGGAGCGUAGGUGGAUUGUUAAGUCAGUUGUGAAAGUUUGCGGCUCAACCGUAAAAUUGCAGUUGAAACUGGCAGUCUUGAGUACAGUAGAGGUGGGCGGAAUUCGUGGUGUAGCGGUGAAAUGCUUAGAUAUCACGAAGAACUCCGAUUGCGAAGGCAGCUCACUGGACUGCAACUGACACUGAUGCUCGAAAGUGUGGGUAUCGAACAGGAUUAGAUACCCCUGUAGUC